rnacentral:rRNA from 1 species
GCACAGGUGCUGCAUGGCUGUCGUCAGCUCGUGCCGUGAGGUGUUAGGUUAAGUCCUGCAACGAGCGCAACCCUCGUCGCUAGUUGUUUUCUCUAGCGAUACUGCCCGUAUAACGUGGAGGAAGGUGGGGAUGACGUCAAGUCAGCAUGGCCCUUACAUCCUGGGCUACACACACGCUACAAUGGGUGAUACAACAGGUUGCAAUAGAGUAAUCUGGAGCCAAUCCCUAAAAUCAUCCUCAGUACAGAUUGCAGGCUGCAACUGCCUGCAUGAAGUUGGAGUUGCUAGUAAACGCAGGUCAGCACACUGCGUUGAAUACGUUCUCGGGCCUU